UUGUUUUUGUUUUUGUUUUACGACAUUCAUACACUGUAGUUUGUAAUAGAUCCGGCCGGAGCACGGAACGGUUCACAGAUGUGUGUGGAUAGGUAUAAGCCCGUGAGGGCAAAUCACUAAUGAUCCUUCCGCAGGUUCACCUACGGAAA
rnacentral:misc_RNA from 1 species